rnacentral:rRNA from 1 species
GAUGAACGCUAGCGACAGGCUUAACACAUGCAAGUCGAGGGGCAGCGAGAAAGUGCUUGCACUUUUGUCGGCGACCGGCGCACGGGUGAGUAACACGUAUGCAACCUGCCCUUGUCAGGGGGAUAAGCGGGGGAAACCCCGUCUAAUACCGCAUAUAUGAUUUGGAGGCAUCUUUAAAUCAGGAAAGAAUUAUCGGACAAGGAUGGGCAUGCGGGACAUUAGGUAGUUGGGGGUGUAACGGACCACCAAGCCGACGAUGUCUAGGGGUUCUGAGAGGUUAACCCCCCCACAUUGGUACUGAGACACGGACCAAACUCCUACGGGAGGCAGCAGUGAGGAAUAUUGGUCAAUGGACGCAAGUCUGAACCAGCCAUGCCGCGUGCAGGAUGACGGCUCUACGAGUUGUAAACUGCUUUUGUAUGAGGGUAAUAUCAGGUACGUGUACCUGCUUGAAAGUAUCAUACGAAUAAGGAUCGGCUAACUCCGUGCCAGCAGCCGCGG